rnacentral:rRNA from 1 species
GAUGAACGCUAGCGGCAGGCCUAAUACAUGCAAGUCGAGGGGCAGCAGGAAUAGCAAUAUUUGCUGGCGACCGGCGCACGGGUGAGUAACACGUAAGUAAUCUACCCUCGAGUGGGGAAUAACGUCCGGAAACGGACGCUAAUACCGCAUAAUGCAGCGGCACCGCAAGGUGACAGUUGUUAAAGAUUUAUCGCUUGAGGAGGAGCUUGCGGCAGAUUAGCUAGUUGGUAAGGUAAUGGCUUACCAAGGCUACGAUCUGUAACCGGUCUUAGAGGACGGUCGGUCACACUGACACUGAAUAACGGGUCAGACUCCUACGGGAGGCAGCAGUCGGGAAUUUUGGGCAAUGGGCGAAAGCCUGACCCAGCAACGCCGCGUGAAGGAUGAAGUAUUUCGGUAUGUAAACUUCGAAAGAAUAGGAAGAAUAAAUGACGGUACUAUUUAUAAGGUCCGGCUAACUACGUG